UACGUAGGGUGCGAGCGUUAAUCGGAAUUACUGGGCGUAAAGCGUGCGCAGGCGGUUCUCCAAGUCCGUUGUGAAAGCCCCCGGGCUCAACCUGGGAAUGGCAGUGGAAACUAGGGGACUGGAAUCUGGCAGAGGGGGAUGGAAUUCCGCGUGUAGCAGUGAAAUGCGUAGAUAUGCGGAGGAACACCGAUGGCGAAGGCAAUCCCCUGGGCCUGCACUGACGCUCAUGCACGAAAGCGUGGGGAGCAAACAGG
rnacentral:rRNA from 1 species